rnacentral:rRNA from 1 species
GAUGCCCAGCUUGCUGGGUGGAUUAGUGGCGAACGGGUGAGUAACACGUGAGUAACCUGCCCUUGACUCUGGGAUAAGCCUGGGAAACUGGGUCUAAUACCGGAUAUGACCUUCCAUCGCAUGGUGGUUGGUGGAAAGCUUUUGUGGUUUUGGAUGGACUCGCGGCCUAUCAGCUUGUUGGUGAGGUAAUGGCUUACCAAGGCGACGACGGGUAGCCGGCCUGAGAGGGUGACCGGCCACACUGGGACUGAGACACGGCCCAGACUCCUACGGGAGGCAGCAGUGGGGAAUAUUGCACAAUGGGCGCAAGCCUGAUGCAGCGACGCCGCGUGAGGGAUGACGGCCUUCGGGUUGUAAACCUCUUUCAGUAGGGAAGAAGCGUAAGUGACGGUACCUGCAGAAGAAGCGCCGGCUAACUACGUGCCAGCAGCCGCGGUAAUACGUAGGGCGCAAGCGUUAUCCGGAAUUAUUGGGCGUAAAGAGCUCGUAGGCGGUUUGUCGCGUCUGCCGUGAAAGUCCGGGGCUCAACUCCGGAUCUGCGGUGGGUACGGGCAGACUAGAGUGAUGUAGGGGAGACUGGAAUUCCUGGUGUAGCGGUGAAAUGCGCAGAUAUCAGGAGGAACACCGAUGGCGAAGGCAGGUCUCUGGGCAUUAACUGACGCUGAGGAGCGAAAGCAUGGGGAGCGAACAGGAUUAGAUACCCUGGUAGUCCAUGCCGUAAACGUUGGGCACUAGGUGU